rnacentral:rRNA from 1 species
AAUAUUGCACAAUGGGCGCAAGCCUGAUGCAGCCAUGCCGCGUGUGUGAAGAAGGCCUUCGGGUUGUAAAGCACUUUCAGUCGUGAGGAAGGUAGUGUCGUUAAUAGCGGCAUUACUUGACGUUAGCGACAGAAGAAGCACCGGCUAACUCCGUGCCAGCAGCCGCGGUAAUA